UUUGAACUAGAGUCGUGGCAGGGAGCGUAACCAGACUGCAAGAUAAUGUCUCUAUCAACUUUCCUGGUGAUUCUGCAUCUCACUUAUGUGUCCAUGCGUCCAACUGUAUAUCAGCCUGUGGGCACGGAAUGGGUUCCCAUAGGAGAUUCAGUGACAUUUGAAUGCUCCAGCAUUACAAGCAUAUUAGUAACCUGGAUGUGGCUGAAACACACCCCAGGAAAAGGACUGGCUCCAAUAGUAACAACCUACUAUGGAAAGGUGAUGUACCAAGGAUAUUUCAAAAACACGUCUCGUUUUGAGCUGCAAACGGAUAAUGUGAGUUUUAAUUUGACCAUACGGAAUGUUGCCUUGUCUGACGUUGGGUCAUAUCAUUGUGGAAUAUUCUGGUAUAACGAUUAUUAUUUUGGAAAUGGUGCGUAUCUCAAGAUUCAAGCCAAUGAAUCAACUGAAGUGAACUCAACCAAGCGGGACAUUCAGGAAAAUCAAGUCGGAUUGAUGAACAACAUUACGUUUGUUCUGGUUGUCACCAUCGCCAUCUUGCUCAUAACUAACAUUCUCCCAAUAAUAUUGUGGAGGAGAGCUCUGCAAAAAGGAGUGGCCAUUGAUAUUUCACCCACAGCCCAAAAUCUUAACAUGGGCACAGAGAAUUAUGCUGCACUGAGCUUCUCUAGUAAGAGAUCAGAGCAUGGAAAUGGUAGAGGCCAUGGUGGAGACGCACCUAGGACAACUGUUGUGUACGCUCCCAUAAAGCAGCAACGCACCAGUGGUCUUGAGUAAAAACUCUUGUGUAAAGACUACACCUUGACCAUUUGGUUAAGUCUUGUGCAUUCAUUUAUUUGAAACAAAAUAAGUCACAUACUGUGUGAAAGAAUUAUUGUGGCUAUGAUGUAAAAUUUGAAUUUCAUGCUGACGUGACAAGCACUGAAGCCUUUGC